rnacentral:rRNA from 1 species
CCUACGGGAGGCAGCAGUGGGGAAUAUUGGACAAUGGGCGAAAGCCUGAUCCAGCCAUGCCGCGUGUGUGAAGAAGGCCUUCGGGUUGUAAAGCACUUUCAGUGGGGAAGAAAGCCUUGGGGCUAAUACCCUCGAGGAAGGACAUCACCCACAGAAGAAGCACCGGCUAACUCCGUGCCAGCAGCCGCGGUAAUACGGAGGGUGCGAGCGUUAAUCGGAAUUACUGGGCGUAAAGCGCGCGUAGGCGGUCUGAUAAGCCGGUUGUGAAAGCCCCGGGCUCAACCUGGGAAUGGCAUCCGGAACUGUCAGGCUAGAGUGCAGGAGAGGAAGGUAGAAUUCCCGGUGUAGCGGUGAAAUGCGUAGAGAUCGGGAGGAAUACCAGUGGCGAAGGCGGCCUUCUGGACUGACACUGACGCUGAGGUGCGAAAGCGUGGGUAGCAAACAGGAUUAGAUACCCGAGUAGUC